rnacentral:rRNA from 1 species
ACUUAAGCAUAUCAAUAAGCGGAGGAAAAGAAACCAACAGGGAUUGCCUCAGUAACGGCGAGUGAAGCGGCAAUAGCUCAAAUUUGAAAGCUGGCGUCUUCGACGUCCGCGUUGUAAUUUGUAGAGGAUGCUUCGGCGAGGACUCCUGCCUAAGUCCCCUGGAACGGGGCGUCACAGAGGGUGAGAAUCCCGUACGUGGCGGGCGGUCCGAGCCAUGUGAAGCUCCUUCGACGAGUCGAGUUGUUUGGGAAUGCAGCUCUAAAUGGGAGGUAAAUUUCUUCUAAAGCUAAAUAUUGGCCAGAGACCGAUAGCGCACAAGUAGAGUGAUCGAAAGAUGAAAAGCACUUUGGAAAGAGAGUUAAAAAGUACGUGAAAUUGUUGAAAGGGAAGCGCUUGCGACCAGACUCGCUCGCAGUCGCUCAGCCGGCCUCUUGGCCGGUGUACUCUUCUGCGAGCGGGCCAGCAUCAGUUCGGGCGGCCGGAUAAAGGUGUCGGGAAUGUAGCACCCUCCGGGGUGUGUUAUAGCCCGGCGCGGAAUGCGGCCAGCCUGGACUGAGGAUCUCGCUUCGGCAAGGAUGCUGGCGUAAUGGUCGUAAGCGGCCCGUCUUGAAACACGGACCAAGGAGUCUAACAUCUAUGCGAGUGUUUGGGUGUCAAACCCAUGCGCGUAAUGAAAGUGAACGGAGGUGGGAACCCCUCACGGGGCGCACCAUCGACCGAUCCUGAUGUCUUCGGAUGGAUUUGAGUAAGAGCAUAGCUGUUGGGACCCGAAAGAUGGUGAACUAUGCCUGAAUAGGGUGAAGCCAGAGGAAACUCUGGUGGAGGCUCGCAGCGGUUCUGACGUGCAAAUCGAUCGUCAAAUUUGGGUAUAGGGGCGAAAGACUAAUCG